rnacentral:rRNA from 1 species
AGCAGCCGCGGUAAUUCCAGCUCCAAUAGCGUAUAUUAAAGUUGUUGCAGUUAAAAAGCUCGUAGUUGAAUUUCGGGAUCAGUACGCCGGUCGUGCCUUCGGUAUGCACUGGUGUCACUGGUUUCUCCCUUCUGAAGAACCAUCAUGCCAUUCAGUUGGUGUGGCGGGGAAUCAGGACUGUUACUUUGAAAAAAUUAGAGUGUUUAAAGCAGGCUCGCGCUUGAAUACAUUAGCAUGGAAUAAUGAAAUAGGACGUUUGACCCUAUUUUGUUGGUUUCUAGGAUCGACGUAAUGAUUAAUAGGGAUAGUUGGGGGCAUUAGUAUUCAAUUGUCAGAGGUGAAAUUCUUGGAUUUAUUGAAGACUAACUACUGCGAAAAGCAUUUGCCAAGGAUGUUUUCAUUAAUCAAGAACGAAAAGUUAGGGGAUCGAAGACGAUCAGAUACCGUCGUAGUCUUAACCAUAAACUAUGCCGACUAGGGAUCGGAUGAUGUUAAUUUUUUAAUGACUCAUUCGGCGCCU